GCCUGGGUGGCUCGGUCGGUUGAGCAUCUGACUCUUGAUUUGGGCUCAUCUCAUGAUCCCAGGGUUGUGGGUUCGAGCCCCGCCUUGGGCU
rnacentral:tRNA from 1 species